AUUGAACGCUAGCGGGAUGCUUUACACAUGCAAGUCGAACGGAGUGGCGGACGGGUGAGUAAUAUAUCGGACCGUGCCCAGUAGCGGGGGAUAACUACUCGACAGUGUCGCUUAUCCCGCAUACUCUUAGAACGCCCUAUAUCGGAUUAGCUAGUUGGUGGGGUAAAGGCUCACCAAGGCCACUAUCCGUAGCUGGUUUGAGAGGACGACCAGCCACACUGGGACUGAGACACGGCCCAGACUCCUACGGGAGGCAGCAGUGGGGAAUUUUGGACAAUGGGGGAAAGCCUGAUCCAGCCAUCCCGCGUGUAUGAUGAAGGCCUUCGGGUUGUAAAGUACUUUUGGCAGAGAAGCGGUAUCUGCAGAAUAAGCACCGGCUAACUACGUGCCAGCAGCCGCGGUAAUAC
rnacentral:rRNA from 1 species